AAACUUUCAACAACGGAUCUCUUGGCUCUGGCAUCGAUGAAGAACGCAGCGAAAUGCGAUACGUAAUGUGAAUUGCAGAAUUCAGCGAACCAUCGAAUCUUUGAACGCACAUUGCGCCCGCCAGCAUUCUGGCGGGCAUGCCUGUCCGAGCGUCAUU
rnacentral:rRNA from 1 species